AUGGAGGACAAAGGCCUGGAGGCUCGCAACGAUGCCGCCACCAUGUCGCCUUGGAUGGCGGCGUGGAGCUCGCAAGGAGGACACCAUCAACGUCAACAACAUCAAGUUGGACCGGAGGCAUGGAGCUUGCGGGAAAUCACCACCAAGCCUACCUCGUCAAGAUGGAGCCCGCGGCACGAUGCCAAGAAGAUAACACACACCCUUGGUGUUGUCCAUGACCUGGAGGAGAAGAUGGUGCCACAUGACGGUCUCCACGACCCGGAGCCCAUGAAGAUGAGGCAUGAUGGCGAGGAGGCAAUGUGA
rnacentral:rRNA from 1 species